rnacentral:rRNA from 1 species
AUUGAACGCUGGCGGCAGGCCUAACACAUGCAAGUCGAACGAGUGGCGGACGGGUGAGUAAUGUCUGGGAAACUGCCUGAUGGAGGGGGAUAACUACUGGAAACGGUAUCUAAUACCGCAUACCAUCGGAUGUGCCCAGAUGGGAUUAGCUAGUGGGUGGGGUAAAGGCUCACCUAGGCGACGAUCCCUAGCUGGUCUGAGAGGAUGACCAGCAACACUGGAACGGAGACAGGGCCAGGACUCCUCCGGGAGGAAGCAGUGGGGAAUAUUGCACAAUGGGCGCAAGCCUGAUACAGCCAUGCGGCGGGUAUGAAGAAGGCCUUCGGGUUUUAAAGUACUUUCAGCGGGGAGGCGGUACCCGCAGAAGAAGCACCGGCUAACUCCGUGCCAGCAGCCGCGGUAAUAC